UGGGGAAUAUUGCGCAAUGGGGGAAACCCUGACGCAGCGACGCCGCGUGAGCGAUGAAGGCUUUAGGGUCGUAAAGCUCUUUUGUAAGGGAAGAAUGUUACGAGUGCUAAUACCACUUGUAAAUGACGGUACCUUACGAAUAAGCCCCGGCUAACUACGUGCCAGCAGCCGCGGUAAGACGUAGGGGGCGAGCGUUGUCCGGAAUUACUGGGCGUAAAGAGCACGUAGGCGGGUAUUUAAGUCAGGUGUGAAAGACCGCAGCUCAACUGCGGGAUUGCACCUGAAACUGGGUAUCUUGAGGGCAGGAGAGGGAAGUGGAAUUCCUGGUGUAGCGGUGAAAUGCGUAGAAAUCAGGAGGAACACCAGUGGCGAAGGCGACUUUCUGGACUGACCCUGACGCUGAGGUGCGAAAGCGUGGGUAGCAAACAGG
rnacentral:rRNA from 1 species